CACGUAGGGCGCAAGCGUUGUCCGGAAUUAUUGGGCGUAAAGAGCUCGUAGGCGGCUUGUCGCGUCGGCUGUGAAAACCUGGGGCUCAACUCCGAGCUUGCAGUCGAUACGGGCAGGCUAGAGUUCGGCAGGGGAGACUGGAAUUCCUGGUGUAGCGGUGAAAUGCGCAGAUAUCAGGAGGAACACCGGUGGCGAAGGCGGGUCUCUGGGCCGAUACUGACACUGAGGAGCGAAAGCGUGGGGAGCGAACAGG
rnacentral:rRNA from 1 species